rnacentral:tRNA from 1 species
UAUAUAUUAGUGUUUAAAGCACAAAAAUUUUUGAAAUUUUAAGAAAUAAAUUAUAAUUUANUNUAUAUAU